CUUUAUGGUGGCCGUGCGCGGGCACGUUGAUUCGUGGCCGAGUGUCCGAGAGAGCUCGGUUCCUACCCCGCGUACGGCUGCCACCCAA
rnacentral:antisense_RNA from 1 species